GUCCCUGUAGAGCAAUGGAUAGCGCGUUGGGGUUCUAAUCCAAAGAUCGUAGGUGUUCAAAUCCCACCUGGGAUG